rnacentral:sRNA from 2 species
CGGAUCAUAGAAAGGGACAGCAAAGGACAAUGAGGAGGACCCGGAGUUAGAACUCGGAUCUCCCGGAGAGUACACCAUCGCACGUCUGUUAGUCAGAUAGGAUUGGUGUUCGACCGGGAAUAUAUGGAUGCGGUUUAAGUCUACGCCGAGUUAGGCUAGAAAUAUAGCCGAAAGAGUAGCCAGAGGGCAACGAAACUCGUGGUAACACGAUCUUUUCUGAUAGUUCGCAACUAUCGCUGGGUGUUCUAUACCCUUACAGAUGUAGUUAUAUUAUAUCUAUUACAUAUUCUAACUAGAGCAUGAGCAA